AUUAAAAAGUUUGAAUUUGAAAAAAGUAUAAUUCGAAACACAUACAAAAAUUUAUAGUUUUAAUUUAUUUAAAUAAUUAUUUGUAUAUAUAUAAAGAACAAGCGUAUAAGAUUCUUUUGCCACUUAAUGAAAAAUAUAUUUUUGAAAAUGUCUCUUUAGUGAUGGUAAACAUGAAUAAUGGUACCAAAAAAUGGUAGACAUGAAAAUUCCCUUAUUUUUUUAAUUAUUUUUUUUUCUUAAACACUUUAGAUUUGUUAAUUUAGAAUUUUUACCAUACUGUUGAAAAUAUGCUAUCAAUAUGAAUGAUCGGUCUACAAAAGCUAUUUUGAAAAUACAUUUUGUUUUUGCUAUUAAAUAUAGUGGUUGGUUUAAUUUUAUAUUUCAAUAAUAUAAGUAUAUGAUUGCUUUGUUAACGGAAAUAUAAUCAAGCUUAUUUUUUAUAGAACAUUUUCAUAUAUUAUUCAUUAAUGUAAUUGUUUUGUUUUUUUUUAUCUUGUGCAAUUUUGAAAGUGCAAUAGAUAGUGUACCAAUUUAUUUCAUUAACAUAAAUGACAGAUAAAUGAUUGAAAAAAUAUAUUUCAUAUGAAUAGUUUUAUUUUCAGUAUGUUUAUUAUUAAAUAUAAUAUAUAUUAACGUGAUGUAAGAUAGAUGUAGAAUUCCAAAUAAAAGUUUUUAACAUUUAAAUAUUCAUUGUAUAUAAUUCAAGAGUUUUGGGAUAGAAAAUUCUAAAUCAUCAACAGACAACAUAAGAAAUCUCAAAAAACAUAGAUAGAAAAAAACAAGAAAAUUCAUGUUUGAAAAGACAAAAACAAACACAAUGCAUUACAAUUUAUGUUUUAAUAAGUUAACCGAAGCAGACAUUUAAUAAAUUACACUUAUAGGUUAUUCAGUCAAAAAUAAUAAUUUAUACAAAUAAUUCGAUUUAUUAUGAUCGAAACCUAAAAUACAAGUAUAAUCUUAAGGAAACUAAUAUCUAAAUUAAUAUUAAAUUGAACAGAAUUUAUCGUAAAUAUCACAUAAUGUAAGGCUUUAGUUACUGUUCAUAUUUUAAUAAGAGAGAUAUCACUAAUAAUUUGAAACAUUAAAUUGAAUUACUGCAUGCAUACUAUAAAAUUGUUGUGUUUGAAAAUAUUAUAUUAAACUAUUAGUAAAAUGAUAAAUAUUAAUAUUAUACACCACUAACAUGUAAAUCAAAUAUUUAUAUGUAUAAAUGAAAAAAUGCCAGCACGGUUUUGCGUAGCAUUGCGAUUUUUGUCCGGGCCGAACCGAGCCAAACCGAAUUUUUUAGUUAUCGGUUCGGUUUUGGUUUUGAGUUUGGUUUAGUUUGGUAGGAUAUUGAAAAAUAAUUCAUUUUUGGUUCUGUUCGGUUUUUUAUUUUCAAAAAUAAAAUAAAAAACCAAAAAAAAACCCUGAAAAUAACUGAAAAUAUCCGAAAAACCAGACUGAAUUUAACCAAAACCCCAAAUAUAUCCGAAUUUAACCGAAAUAACCAAAAAUAUCCGAUUUUUUUUUUGGAAAAUUAGACCGGAAUGAACUGAAAACAAAAAAAUGGUUAUUUUUGGAAAUAAUUUUGAAAACCGAAAUUAACUGAUAACCGAACCGAACCAAAAUUUAAUUCGGUUAAUUUCAGAAUUGGUUUUCACAAUUUUGGUUAACCAAAAACCGAUGGUGCGGUUCGGUUUCGGAAAACCAAAAUUGCAGACCUAGUUGCGCGGAUCAAAAUCUAGUAUACUAUUAAAACAAAAUCAUUAUUCGUACCUAAAUUUAACUUAUCGUGUGAUAUUAUCCAAUUCAAACUCUUAUAUUCACUAUGCAUCAUAAUAUGACUCCAUCCAACUUACUUAUUUAACUAAAUAUUAAAAAAAUAACUAAAAAGUUGUUUCGUUCAAAUUUUUCUAAUAUUUUAAUCUAAUAAAAGUCUACUAUAUAUUUUUUUAUAAAAACUAGAAAUCCACGGUUUUUUUAAAGAUAUUAAAUUUGGUAAAUAUAUAAAUAAGUAAAUAAUUUCGUUAUUAUUAUUAAAUAAUUAUUAUAUAUCAAUAUUUAAUUUUGACUCAUUACAUGAUUAUUAUAGAUCAAUAUUGUUAUUCGUAGUUUUGAAUAAUAUUAUUAGCUGUUGCUUAUUAAUAAGGUUCUUAUAUGUAAUGAGUCAAUAUUUAAUUUUGACUCAUUACAGAUUAUAUCCUAUCAGAUCAUUACAGAUUAUUAUAUCAAUAUUAAAUAAUUAUUAUAUAUCAAUAUUUAAUUUUGACUCAUUACAGACUAUAUCCUAUCAGAUCAUUUUCCGAUCAUGUCCUAAAUUACUAGUGGACUAGUUGACUUGUUGAUAUUUUAGCUAAUUUGGAUUUGAACAUUUUUUAAUAUUAUAUAUAUACAUAUGAUUGUUCAUGUGUGCAUUCUCAUUACACUCUUUUGUCAAAAACAUUCUCAUUACACUCAUUGUGAUUUUAUUUGUGAUUUUGUUCUUCUAAUAUCAUUAAAAUGACUAGACCCAUCAUUUGUGUUAUUCUUAUGGUCGUCUUUGUUCUAGGUAUGGUGGCGAAGGAAACACAAGGAGAAAAUACGUGUCAUACAAAUAUAUCUUAUGGUAAUGAAGGUUGUGAAUCUAUGGUAUGCAGUUUAGACUGUGCUACAAAUUGGAAGGGAUUCGGCGAGUGUGUGAGUACAAAAAGUCCAAACUGCAUAUGCGCUUAUCCUUGCCCAAAUUGAUUUUAUUUGUUAUCCAUAAUCUAUCAACAAUCACAUUAAUAAAAUAAUGAAUAAUAAAAAUUGCAAAAUUUGAUUUAUCUUUUUUUUGUUUGAAUGCAAACUCUAAUUAAAAUAAGUUUAUGUGAACUUUAAACUGCUACUUUUUAACAAAUAUUAGAAGUUUGCACAGAAUAUAUAACUUUGAAUAAUAUCAUUUGUGUCAUUGUGUGGUACUAUUUUCGAAAGCUACCAUUAAUCUCAUCUUCAACACCUACCACCAAUUUUAAACAAAUCAUGACCAUAUCUAUACAAAAAAAAAUAAAGAAAAAUUGCACGCCAUGCACUAGACUUUUACCCUAAUUAACCAAAUAUUUUAAAUUCCACACUGUGAUACAUUUUUCCAUAGACACAAACUAGUCACAUCAUAGGUAUUUUUAAUUUUUAGGGCCUUAAACCAAUUCACCCUACAAUAAAAAUGAUAAUUCUGAAAAAUCUACUUAAACUAAGUUAUUAUACCCAUUCAUUAAUUAUAUAAAAGUCUAUUGGACCAAUUCACUAAGAAAUAUAACAUACAAAAGUAUCGGUAACACAGAAUCUUAUCAAGAUCUUUCUCUUAGAUUUAGGUAAUUGAUAAAUGUUUUUUUUUAUCUUUUUGAAAGUUUGUGACAUAUCUAGUCUAUUAAAAAACUUAUGUCCUUUUAGAUACUUACCAAAUACUAUUUGACAUAUCUGGUUACUUUUCGUGGUUUCAAAUCAAUCAGUCCAAAUACAAUAACGAAUAACCUCCGUUUCAAAAAUCAUGUUUUAGAGAAAAAAAAUUAUUUCAAAAAACUAUAUUUUUUAUAUUUUCAAUACAAUUUUUAUCAACUAAUAAUAAAAGAUUGUAAAGUUCAAAAAUAUUAAUUGAAUCUCUUAAAAUUUUAUUGGUUUAAAAAUAUAAGAAAUAUAAACUUACAAAAAACUAUGCAUUUAUAACUAAGUUUUAAUAUACUUUAUUAAAAAUAUGAAAAUUUUAAAACAUGUAUUAUAUUGAAACGAAAAGAGUAUAUUCUAUUUUAGUAUAUCAUACAUUAGUAUAUUAGAAAUAUGUUUUUAUCCCAUGUGGUAAUAUAUUACUCAUUUUCCUAAUUUAUUUGUUUUGGCUUCUCAAAAAUGGCUGUUUGAUAAUUUCAAAUAUAUAAAUAACAGCCAAUCAAAAAAUUAUAUAUUUUUUAAAAAUUGUUAAACUAUCCUAGAUUUUCACAAUUCUAAUAAUAUAUAAUAUUCAUAUAUCAAAAUAAACAGGUGUUAAAAGUAUACAUUUAAAAUCGACCAUAAAUUUAUAUAAAUAUCUUAUCUAAGUUACCAAUUUUUAUAACAAAGAAAUAAGAUUUUUUUUCAAAUAUAUAUGUAAUAAUAUAUAUUAAAAAAGUUUCUCAUUUUUUUAACACUGGAUAUAUUAUGCUAUUACAAAGAGAAAUAUUACAGACGAUUCUACAGCCGACAAUUCUACCUGCCUUACGAAGAUUCACGUCUGACUGCAUCACCUGAGCCGCCCUAUCGGAUCCACCCUUGACGAUACUCUUUGCGCCAUGCUGAAAAUCUCUUGUAAACCGUUUCUCCAUUAAUUCACAUAAUUCCGCUUUCUCCGGGAAUCGAAAGCCGUUUAAAUAAGUUUCGCAUUUAAUAAAAUCAUAAUAUCUUUAUACCAAGAAAUCAAUUUGUUUUGUGGUUUAGUCAAUCAUAUUAUUUAUUAUAUAUCUUAAACAAAAAUUUUAUACCAUAUAAUUUACUUUAUAUUUCUCUAAAAAUACUUUAGUCAAUACUCUUAUUUCUCAUACAAAAUAAUUUUGUUUACGAAAAUAUUAUACCAAAAAUAUAACAUUCGUUUGAGCACCUUAUUUUUAAAGGCAACUAAAUUUUAAAAAAAAAUCAAAAAUUUAAUAUUCUUAUAUUUUCACUUUAAUUUUUUUUUUAAAAUAUAUCAUAUAUUGUUACAAAAUAUUUUAACAAAAAAAAUUAUAGAUAUGCUAUUUAAAUCCACUAAUUUUAUUAACUUUAAUAGAUUUCAAAACUCAUUUAAAAGUUAGAAUAUUUCAUACAUUAUGUAAUACUAUCUCAUCUUACAUUAUAUAGUUCCAAAUAUUUACAAAAUCAAAGAUUAUACAAACACUUUAGAAACCAUAUCUAAAAAAGAAAAAUUAUAUAUAUAUAUUUUUUUUAUCCAUGCAAAUUGAUGAUCUGUUAUUUAAUAUAGGCUUAAAAGUUAUUAAAAAACUUUGUAAAUAUCUUAUAUAUUAAAACAGAAGUCACAACCUUGAUUCAUGUGUGAUUUUAAAAAAAAUGGAUCUAAUGGACCUAUUUCUAGAAAGUCAUGUUACAUUUAAUCUAUAAUCUUAUCAUUUAAAUUUUGGACCUACCAGAAAUUUUUAUUGGGAUAUCAAUAAUUGAAUUUAAACAAUAGAUGAUCCAUUG